GUGGGAUUUCCCUCUGUAUGCUGUGAUUACCACUGAUUGAUAAAAAAAAAAACUGCUUUGAGCCUAUGGCAGGGAAGAACAGAACGAGGCCGGAAAAGCUAGGCUGAAUGCUGGGAGAUAGAGGGCGGAGUCAGCGAGAAGCUAUGUGGCCCCACCAGAGACAGAUGCUGGAACUUUUCCCGGUUGCUGACCACCGACUUAGCAUCCUGGGAUGUAGCAUUGUGGAUUAUCUAUACAGAAUUCUGAAGUUAAAACAAUCGACAAACCAGUGUUCUGAAGUUUUUCCAGUAUUCUCUGUGUGCCUGAUAACAUCAGCAAUUAUGUACCAAAAUAAUCAAAUUAUGUUUUUGGUUUCUUUUUUUUUUUCUUGCCUAUUACAUCUCACAUCUCUUUUUGUUUAAGUGAUUUCUGAUAAAGUCGCUUGUUCUUUAGCCCAAGCUGACCUCCAACAGGCAAUCCUUCUGGUUCAACCUCCCCAGCGCUAGAAUUACAAGGGUAAAUUGCCAUGCUCAGCUAUAUAGCAUAUCUCGUAAUCGCUCAGAAGCAAAGUCUGUUAUUGUCAGCAAUAUUUUGAAUAAUAUUUUAAAGCUCAAUCUGUAAAAUGUUCUCCCAUAUGUCCAGAAUGUAUAGUUCACAAACUUUUUUCAUUACCAAAUUAAUUCACUUAAGUCCAUGAAAUAAAAGGUACAGAUGCUGGGGACAUAGCUUACCUGGUUUUUGCUUGCCUACUAUGCACAAAGCCCCAGUUUAACCAUCAGCACUGCAAAACCAAGAUGUGGUGGCGCACACCUGCCGCCCCAAUACUGAGGAGAUGGAAGCACGAGGAGCAGUUCAAGGUUAUCCUUGGGUACAUACCAAGUUUGAGGCUAGCCUGGACUACAACAGACAUGUCUCACUAAAUGAGUAAAUAAAUAAAUGGUCUGAUUUAUAGGCUGAAUGCUGGCAAUUGUCAUUAAAUUAAAUAUAAACACUGUUACGCUUUA